AUGAACGCUGGCGGCGUGCCUAAUACAUGCAAGUCGAGCGAACGGACGAGAAGCUUGCUUCUCUGAUGUUAGCGGCGGACGGGUGAGUAACACGUGGAUAACCUACCUAUAAGACUGGGAUAACUUCGGGAAACCGGAGCUAAUACCGGAUAAUAUUUUGAACCGCAUGGUUCAAAAGUGAAAGACGGUCUUGCUGUCACUUAUAGAUGGAUCCGCGCUGCAUUAGCUAGUUGGUAAGGUAACGGCUUACCAAGGCAACGAUGCAUAGCCGACCUGAGAGGGUGAUCGGCCACACUGGAAAUGAGACACGGUCCAGACUCCUACGGGAGGCAGCAGUAGGGAAUCUUCCGCAAUGGGCGAAAGCCUGACGGAGCAACGCCGCGUGAGUGAUGAAGGUCUUCGGAUCGUAAAACUCUGUUAUUAGGGAAGAACAUAUGUGUAAGUAACUGUGCACAUCUUGACGGUACCUAAUCAGAAAGCCACGGCUAACUACGUG
rnacentral:rRNA from 1 species